rnacentral:rRNA from 2 species
UAUACCGUGAAACUGCGAAUGGCUCAUUAAAUCAGUUAUCGUUUAUUUGAUAGUACCUUACUACUUGGAUAACCGUGGUAAUUCUAGAGCUAAUACAUGCUGAAAACCCCAACUUCGGGAGGGGUGUAUUUAUUAGAUAAAAAACCAACGCCCUUCGGGGCUUCUUGGUGAUUCAUGAUAACUUUACGGAUCGCAUGGCCUUGCGCCGGCGACGGUUCAUUCAAAUUUCUGCCCUAUCAACUUUCGAUGGUAAGGUAUUGGCUUACCAUGGUUUCAACGGGUAACGGGGAAUUAGGGUUCGAUUCCGGAGAGGGAGCCUGAGAAACGGCUACCACAUCCAAGGAAGGCAGCAGGCGCGCAAAUUACCCAAUCCCGACACGGGGAGGUAGUGACAAUAAAUACUGAUACAGGGCUCUUUUGGGUCUUGUAAUUGGAAUGAGUACAAUUUAAACCUCUUAACGAGGAACAAUUGGAGGGCAAGUCUGGUGCCAGCAGCCGCGGUAAUUCCAGCUCCAAUAGCGUAUAUUAAAGUUGUUGCAGUUAAAAAGCUCGUAGUUGAAACUUGGGCCUGGCUGGCAGGUCCGCCUCACCGCGUGUACUUGUCCGGCCGGGCCUUCCUUCUGGAGAACCUCAUGCCCUUCACUGGGCGUGUUGGGGACCAGGACUUUUACUUUGAAAAAAUUAGAGUGUUCAAAGCAGGCCUUUGCUCGAAUACGUUAGCAUGGAAUAAUAGAAUAGGACGUGCGGUUCUAUUUUGUUGGUUUCUAGGACCGCCGUAAUGAUUAAUAGGGACAGUCGGGGGCAUCAGUAUUCAAUUGUCAGAGGUGAAAUUCUUGGAUUUAUUGAAGACUAACUACUGCGAAAGCAUUUGCCAAGGAUGUUUUCAUUAAUCAGUGAACGAAAGUUAGGGGAUCGAAGACGAUCAGAUACCGUCGUAGUCUUAACCGUAAACUAUGCCGACUAGGGAUCGGGCGAUGUUCUUUUUUUUGACUCGCUCGGCACCUUACGAGAAAUCAAAGUU